UACGUAGGGGGCAAGCGUUGUCCGGAAUAAUUGGGCGUAAAGAGCGUGUAGGCGGCUCGAUAAGUCCGCUGUGAAAGUCCAGGGCUCAACCCUGGAAGGCCGGUGGAAACUGUCGGGCUAGAGUCCGGAAGAGGCGAGUGGAAUUCCCGGUGUAGCGGUGAAAUGCGCAGAUAUCGGGAGGAACACCAAUGGCGAAGGCAGCUCGCUGGGACGGUACUGACGCUGAGACGCGAAAGCGUGGGGAGCAAACAGG
rnacentral:rRNA from 1 species